rnacentral:rRNA from 1 species
ACUCCUACGGGAGGCAGCAGUGGGGAAUCUUCCGCAAUGGACGAAAGUCUGACGGAGCAACGCCGCGUGUAUGAUGAAGGUCUUCGGAUUGUAAAGUACUGUCAUUGGGGAAGAACGGUUUUCUUGAAAAGAUUGAGAAGACAUGACGGUACCCAAGGAGGAAGCCCCGGCUAACUACGUGCCAGCAGCCGCGGUAAUACGUAGGGGGCAAGCGUUGUCCGGAAUUAUUGGGCGUAAAGGGCGCGUAGGCGGGCCUUUAAGUCCGGUGUGAAAGAUCAGGGCUCAACCCUGAGAGUGCAUCGGAAACCGGAGGCCUUGAGGACAAGAGAGGAAAGUGGAAUUCCACGUGUAGCGGUGAAAUGCGUAGAUAUGUGGAGGAACACCAGUGGCGAAGGCGACUUUCUGGACUGUAACUGACGCUGAGGCGCGAAAGCGUGGGGAGCAAACAGGAUUAGAUACCCUGGUAGUCCACGCCGUAAACGAUGAGUGCUAGGUGUAGAGGGUAUCGACCCCUUCUGUGCCGCAGUUAACACAAUAAGCACUCCGCCUGGGGAGUACGGCCGCAAGGUUGAAACUAAAAGGAAUUGACGG